rnacentral:misc_RNA from 1 species
AAGUCGUAACAAGGUCUCCGUUGGUGAACCAGCGGAGGGAUCAUUACCGAGUUUACACUCAUAACCCUUUGUGAACAUUAUAACUUGUUGCUUCGGCGGCUUCUUCGGGAGCCCGCCGGCGUUUCAGUAUCUCUGUUUGUACCCGACGAUACAUCUGAGUGUUCUUAGCGAACUAUAAAAACUUUUAACAACGGAUCUCUUGGUUCUA